AACGAACGCUGGCGGCAUGCCUAACACAUGCAAGUCGAACGGAUGGUCGCAAGACCAUUAGUGGCGGACGGGUGCGUAACGCGUGGGAACCUGCCUUGAAGUUCGGAAUAACUGCGGGAAACUGCAGCUAAUACCGGAUGUGGCCUGCGGGCCAAAGGGGAAACUCGCUUCAAGAGGGGCCCGCGUCCGAUUAGCUAGUUGGCGGGGUAACGGCCCACCAAGGCGAUGAUCGGUAGCUGGUCUGAGAGGACGACCAGCCACACUGGAACUGAGAUACGGUCCAGACUCCUACGGGAGGCAGCAGUGGGGAAUAUUGGACAAUGGGGGCAACCCUGAUCCAGCAAUGCCGCGUGAGUGAUGAAGGCCUUCGGGUUGUAAAGCUCUUUUGGCGGGGACGAUGAUGACGGUACCCGCAGAAUAAGCCCCGGCUAACUUCGUGCCAGCAGCCGCAGUAAUAC
rnacentral:rRNA from 1 species